CAGUGGGCGGGGCCAUGGCGGAAGAAAGCAAUGGUCGAGCGAGGCGACCUGCGCAGAAGCAGCUACGGGAGGGAUAUAUCCAAUAGCUCCAGUCCUGUUUGUUGAACAGACGUCUCUUUCUCCACUUUGUGUUUCCACCUUUGUCAGAAGUCCAUUGCCAGAGCCCUUCUAUUGAGCAACAUCCUACACAUCCUACGACUCCCAUUUGUCCUUCCACUCCUG